GUGCACAAAACUCAGGGUGGACUAGGCUUCAGGGACUUCCGGGUUUUCAACCAAGCUCUACUCGCGAGACAGGCGUUGCGGUUGCUAACCAAGCCUAAUAGUUUGUGUGCACAGGUAUUAAAGGCUCGCUACUAUCCCGACGGACGUCUUGAGGAUACGGUCUUCUUGGGGAAUGCCUCCCCUACCUGGCAGGCUAUCCAACAUGGCCUUGAGCUCCUGAAGAAGGGCAUCAUCUGGCGCGUUGGCAAUGGACAGCACAUCCGCAUCUGGCGUGAUCGUUGGGUGCCCCGGGAGCCCUCGCGCCAACGCAUCACACAGCAAGGUACCUGCUGGCUGAGGAGAGUAGCAGAACUUCUGGAUGACGACGAGUCCUAG
rnacentral:rRNA from 1 species